UCGUAACAAGGUUUCCGUAGGUGAACCUGCGGAAGGAUCAUUAUUGAAUAAAUCUGACUUGGUUGUAGCUGGCUUCCUCGGAAGCAUGUGCACGCCGGUCACCUUUAUCUAUCCACCUGUGCACCCUUUGUAGUCCUGGAUACCUCUCGCUGAAAGGCGGAUGCNGANUCUGCCGUGNCUUCNAAAGAAAGGNCGGNUUANUCUGAAUUUCCAGGUCUAUGAUCUUUAUACNCCCCAAACGAAUGUUAUAGAAUGUAAUCNAUGGGACUUUGUUCCUAUAAAACUUAUACAACUUUCANCAACGGAUCUCUUGGCUCUCGCAUCNAUGAAGAACGCANCNAAAUGCGAUAAGUAAUGUGAAUUGCAGAAUUCAGUGAAUCAUCNAAUCUUUGAACGCACCUUGCGCUCCUUGGUAUUCCGAGGAGCAUGCCUGUUUGAGUGUCAUUAAAUUCUCAACCCUACCAGUUUUGUAAUGAGACUUGUGUAGAGGCUUGGAUAUGGGGGCUUUGCNGGUCUACACUUGUGUGGUCNGCUCCUCUGAAAUGUAUUAGUGGGUUAGGCUCCUAAUCUAUUGGUGUGACAAUUAUCUACGCCGUUGGACUUGGGAUUGCUAAACUUUGACCUGCUUCUAACCGUCCGCAAGGACAACACAUGACAAUUUUGACCUCAAAUCAGGUAGGACUACCCGCUGAACUUA
rnacentral:rRNA from 1 species